rnacentral:lncRNA from 1 species
CCCAGUCCUGUGCUAGACGCUGGAAUGAAUUAGUCAGACGGGGUCUGAGUCCUUAAGGAACUCGAUCAAAUAUGGGGCAGAGAUGGUAACAAGUAAUAUAGUUCAGCAGAGGAGAUGCCAGAACUGUGUGCAAAACACCCGGCUAACACAGAGAUGACAACUGAUUCUGCCUGGAAAAACAGCAGUUGAGGUGACACAAGCUGUAGCGAGAAGUGGAGUCUGGGGGCAUUUCCCGACGUUGAGUCUCGGAAGCUGCCGGAACCAAGGUGCUGCGGUAGUGGAGUGAUUCUCGGUGGGAUAUUGUUACCGGACCUGUUCAAGGCCGUUCCGUCAGCGUUUUCAGACGCAAAGGGGUCGUGGCUGCUGGUGCGGAUCUUCGGUCUACACUUUUAGAGGUCACAGCAGCAAAAGAUGAACGGAACCCUGUGGAAGAUUCAGAGCUUUGGGAGAGAAUCCCACUUAUUCUGCAGGUAAGUGGUUAUUUCCUUGUAUGAUCUGCCUACUUUAAGUGACCUUCUAUUCUAGCAUUCUAUAACAAUUUUGCCUAGAAGGAUGCCUACCACAUAUUUGAGAAUAGUAGCAGAGACCAAGUCCCAC